rnacentral:rRNA from 1 species
AGAGUUUGAUCAUGGCUCAGAGCGAACGCUGGCGGCAGGCUUAACACAUGCAAGUCGAGCGGGCGUAGCAAUACGUCAGCGGCAGACGGGUGAGUAACGCGUGGGAACAUACCUCUUGGUUCGGAACAACACAGGGAAACUUGUGCUAAUACCGGAUAAGCCCUUACGGGGAAAGAUUUAUCGCCGAGAGAUUGGCCCGCGUCUGAUUAGCUAGUUGGUAGGGUAAUGGCCUACCAAGGCGACGAUCAGUAGCUGGUCUGAGAGGAUGAUCAGCCACAUUGGGACUGAGACACGGCCCAAACUCCUACGGGAGGCAGCAGUGGGGAAUAUUGGACAAUGGGGGCAACCCUGAUCCAGCCAUGCCGCGUGAGUGAUGAAGGCCCUAGGGUUGUAAAGCUCUUUUGUGCGGGAAGAUAAUGGCGGUACCGCAAGAAUAAGCCCCGGCUAACUUCGUGCCAGCAGCCGCGGUAAUACGAAGGGGGCUAGCGUUGCUCGGAAUCACUGGGCGUAAAGGGUGCGUAGGCGGGUUUUUAAGUCAGGGGUGAAAUCCUGGAGCUCAACUCCAGAACUGCCUUUGAUACUGAAGAUCUUGAGUCCGGGAGAGGUGAGUGGAACUGCGAGUGUAGAGGUGAAAUUCGUAGAUAUUCGCAAGAACACCAGUGGCGAAGGCGGCUCACUGGCCCGGUACUGACGCUGAGGCACGAAAGCGUGGGGAGCAAACAGGAUUAGAUACCCUAGUAGUCC